CCUCCUCCUCCUCCUCUCUCUCUCUCUCUCUCUCGAAAUGGAAGCAGGACUGGCGAAUCGAUUAUCGAAGGUGGCUCUGCUUCUAGUGCUGCUUGUUUCGGUGGCGGUCCGCGCGGAGGACGCGCCGGCGCCGGCACCAGGAAUGGAGAGCGGAUCGAUCGCGGCGGUGCCUGGGCUCUGCGUGCUGCUUCUCACCGCCAUGGCUUCCGCGCUCGCUGCCUUCGCGCAUUGAGGGCCAAUCUCUCAAUGGCUCGUUCUAUGAACUGGAUCUAAGAAAACCCAUUUCUGCAGUUGUAUGAUCGGAUCUGUUUUGCUGAUUAAUCUGAGCAGCAUGAGAAGACUAGAAAUCAAGGUGGCAACAUAUGCUUCUCUUGCAGAAUGAAGCCGAUGUGCACACCAUUCCGAUGAUUUCAUAUGGGCUAGUAGUAUCCUUUGAGAAUCUGUUAUGUGUUUUCUUGAUUUUAUUUACCAUUAGAAUGAUGUAUAAACAAAUAAAUCAUUUCUCAAAGAAAAUGCUGGGCUCAGCCCAAGCAACCUUUUUUCUUUUAGAAACAUUAAAUGUUCCGA